rnacentral:rRNA from 1 species
GACGAACGCUGGCGGCGUGCCUAAUACAUGCAAGUAGAACGCACAGUUUAUACCGUAGCUUGCUACACCAUAGACUGUGAGUUGCGAACGGGUGAGUAACGCGUAGGUAACCUGCCUGGUAGCGGGGGAUAACUAUUGGAAACGAUAGCUAAUACCGCAUGAUAUUAAUUAUUGCAUGAUAAUUAAUUGAAAGGUGCAAUUGCACCACUACCAGAUGGACCUGCGUUGUAUUAGCUAGUAGGUGAGGUAACGGCUCACCUAGGCGACGAUACAUAGCCGACCUGAGAGGGUGAUCGGCCACACUGGGACUGAGACACGGCCCAGACUCCUACGGGAGGCAGCAGUAGGGAAUCUUCGGCAAUGGACGAAAGUCUGACCGAGCAACGCCGCGUGAGUGAAGAAGGUUUUCGGAUCGUAAAGCUCUGUUGUAACAGAAGAACGGGUGUGAGAGUGGAAAGUUCACACUGUGACGGCAUCUUACCAGAAAGGGACGGCUAACUACGUG